AACGGCGAUGGCGGUCGAGCGGCUCUUCUCUCUGGAGCUGCUCGUGGACUGGGUGCGCCUGGACGCCGGGCUGUCGCCGCCGCCGUCCGCCCUGCGCCCGGCCGUGGCCUUCCGCCUGCUGGACUUCCCCACGCUGCUGGUGUACCCGCCGGGCGGCCCCGCCGCGCCCGCCCCGGAGCCGCGGCCUGGUGUACUGGGCUUCGGCCGCGGCAAGGCCUGCGUCUUCUGCGUGAGCGCCGCCGCCCUGCCGCGCCUGCUCGCGCAUGCGCCGCUGCUGGCGCUGCUGCUGCACCAGCCCCCCGGCCGCUCGCCGUCCGCCCCACACCUGCUGGGCACUUGCCGCGUGCCGCUGGCCGCCGCGCUCCCCCAGCCCCGCCGCGCGCGCUUCGCCCUGCGCGGCCCCGCGGGGCGGCGGGUCGGGGACGUGGAGCUGGUCUAUCGCCUGACCGAGCUGGGCGCCCCCGAGCGGCCGCCGGCCCCGGAGCCAGACCCGGGAGACGCCGAACGGCCUCUGGGGGGCUCCGAAUCCCCGGAAGCGCAGAAGGAGCUGGAGGAGGUUUUGCUCCCCGGCGAGGCCGGCUCGGACAGCGCGGGUCCUGUGCGGAAUGGCGAAGCCACCUCUGCGGCCACUCGUUCCCGUGCCAGCGGGGGGAGGAGUAUCAGCCCCAUCGACCAGGAUGUCACAGAGCUGGACAUGGAAACCAACACGUUUUGCCCUCCUCCUCUGUAUUACACUCAUUUCACCCAAGGAAAGACGCCUCCUGCACCAGGUAAAAUCACCAUCGAGACUCAAAUGCAUGUCCCCGAGAAACUGGAUGAUGCUUUUCCGGAAGAAAACCUUGUAAAGCCCCCAACACAUACGAGUCCUCUGAAACAUACUAUUUCUGCACCGCCGGAAAGCUCUCCAGUACCUAUAAAUCCUCCACCUAUUCAGGAUAUGGGGGCAAUGAACCAGACUGCAUGUUGCCCUCAAACUGAACAAAGUAGAAUUAAUACAAUAAGUCAGCUGCCUUUGUUAAAUGCUUUGUUGGUUGAGUUAUCCUUGUUGUCCAACCAACCCAUGGCAAGCGCUGCUCAUGUGCAUCCUCACUUAGCCUGGUUAUAUAGAACCGAGGAUAAGAAGGCACCAGAAUCUUCUGCCAAAUCCGUGUGUCCAUCUGCAUCUGAGAAGGAUAAGCUUUCUAUGGGGGAACAUGAAAAGUCAGUGAAUGCCCACUGUGGAAAGAACCAGGUUGAUACCCUUAAGAAAGGUAAAUGUCUUGAAAAGAACAGUGGUGCUCCCCAAAAAAGAGUUUCAAGGGGGAGGCCUCUUUAUGGCUUAACCAAGACACUGAGACUGCGUUUGAAGCAGACAAACCCUGCAAUGUUGGCAAUACAUGAAAAGAGAGAACAGCAUAGAAAAAUGCAAACACAAAUGUCGGGUGCAAAAUUCAGAAUCCCGUCAUCCCAGGUGAAAGUGCUAAGCUUUACAGAACAAAGUCAGAAGCCACACCAACUGCUCGAGGAGAAGUGUUUCGAUUCAGAUGGAUCUUUUGUUGAAAAUGGUGAUACCUCAAGGCAAAGUGGUGGCGUUUUUGCUGAGCCCAGCACAACUAAAGAAAAUAAACUGAAAUGUACAAUUGAGAAAAAGACAGUUGAUUCUGGUGAAAAUAGAGCCAAUAAUGGUACACUGGAAGAAGUCGUGAGUACCAUAAAUUCCAUUAUUCCAGAAAGGUUUACUCAGACAAAUAUUUUGGGAGGAAAAGUGGAAAUGAAAGUACAAACUCCAAGUGUCUCCCGACAAGAUGCUACUGUUGACAGAAUUGUAGCAGAUAAAGAAAUAGGUGAUAGGCAGGUCGAAACCACAGAUGACAACAUUCUUACUGCAGAGAGGAGGGAAAACAGCUCAAGUAGCUGCAAUGAGAGCAUCUCAGAACUGAAGUUUUCAGAUGACUUCACCAGCCCUUGCUAUUCUGAAGAUUUCUGUACCACCGAGGACACCAGCAGAAGUUUACAAGCUCACAAAGGCAGUCCAGGAGCAGAAAAUCCAAAAUGCAGUCAACGUACAAGUCAGUCUAGUGAAGCGGGAUUGUCCAUAAGGAAAAAUAGUAGUGGAAAGAGUUCUAUUCCUAGCCCCCCGUUUUCAGCUGGAUCGCCAGUACUCUCAUGUAGAAGAUCUCAUAUUUCAAAGAUCCAGGAUAAAGGUUUGGAGGAAACAUCUAUUGUCUCUACCAGUUAUUCGUCUUCAUCACUUUGGACUGAGGAAAAGGAAAACCAGGGGGAUGUAUUUUCCAUUAAAACUUCAGUCGGGAAAUCACCUCCGCCUUCGAAAAGGCUUCAACAACUCUCCCCUUGCACAGCAAGGCAAAGAAGUUUGCGGAGAUGGAAGAGGCGGCAUAGAGGCUUCUGGCCAUGGGAAGGAGACUGUUCAGCAUCCAGUGAACUUUAUUGAAGAGAAACAUCUGCUGAAUCACUGAGAAGGGGAAGACAUCACAGAGAGGAACUCCUAAUGACCACGAGAGGCCAUAGGUCCCGUGGCCCCCUCCUCCCGGGGUUCCUGACCAGGUGCCACAUCUGUCCCUCAUGCUGUGGCCCUCCUGCCACCUUCUCCCUUCCUUAGGGCCCCCGGAUUUUCCUCUGGCCAGGACGGUGGACUCUGGCAAUGUCCACUCACUUGAGGGAUCCCCCUCCUGGGCUGACCCGCUGGGCCAGGUCCUGCCCUACGGCCUGCACAGGACAGUCACAGGACACUGGAGAACACGGGAGGAAACACGCCACUGAGCAGAGGAAACCAAGGCACGAGUAACAACAUGUUGAACGUCAGAGCUCAGGGUCUCCAGGAGGAACUGCUCAGAUAAUAUCACAUGCAUCCCCACAAGAACAAGCAGCCGGUGGCCUGAAUCUACACUGAGAAAGUAGAGGUAGAGCUGGCGACACGACUAGAGCCAGGAGAGCCUUGGUUCCUCGCCCAGAAGCUCACAGCACGUGCCCGGGCCCAGAGGUUGCUGACCAGUGUCUCUGCUGCCUACAAGGAGAAGCAGUGCCUGGCUCUUCUGAGCCUAGGGCUCGUAGGGCUCGGGGUGGCUCACGGCCCCAUUCCCCGUCUCAUUUCCCGAUGCUGCUGACUCUUCUACUACAAGCUGUGGCCUCCACGUUAAUGGAGGUCUGAAGAAACCUAACUGAGAGGUUCUGAAGUCCUCUUUAUUCCCAAAGAUCUGCUUCAGGGAGUCCAGGCACUGCUCCACAGUGAUAGAGUCAUUGUUGGCCCAGAGCACCCGGAUGAUGGACAGCGCAGGGCCGCCUAAGCUCUCCAGCAGACCGCGCCUCUUCUCCACCUCAGACACUUGCCACAUCAGCAUCAUCUCAGUGACCUGCUCCAGCCACCCUUCAGAGGUCUCUUCGCCUGGGCCUGGGAAAGCACUUUCAGUUUUCGGUACCACAUGCUUUCUUCCAGAGCCUGCAAAACUGGUGGUCUGACUUGGCUCGAGCCUCUAGCUCCAUGUCCUCAGGGGCCAAGGUGCUAUAGGCCAGGGCUUUGGCCACAUCUACCGUUCUCCAGCCCUCAUCUUUCAGGAAGUAGUUCAGUCUAUUGAUAAAGUCUUCAUCUGAGUUAAGGGGUUUUACCACCACCUCUCAGGUGCCCCAUUUCCUGGUAUCUGACUAGGGAUCGUAACAUAAUUGACAGUGUCAGCCAACUCGAUGAGGACUGCCUGUGGCAUUGUCUUCCCUUAGGAACAUUCUGCCCAGCACCCUGUACGCACACAGGGGCUGCAAGCCUGCCUUCAUGGUCUCUUUAAUUUCAGCCUCACUAUACUCCAUGGGGAUGCCCGUGAUCAAUAGGGCCUUCCUGGGAUCCAGGUCCAUGCCCUUGCACCAAUCUUCUAACGGUGUCACUGCCAUUUCUCUUACUGCCUAUGGAUUGAUCUAAUACUAGGGCAGUAAUGAGCUCAGUGCUUCACCAGGACUCAGAUAAUUCUGAGCCAAUGCCAAGGAGGAAGGCAGAAGUGUCCCAGGUUUCCACAGCCUCCUUUUUCUGUGGAUUCCUCCUUGAAAUCCGUGUGCUGUGGACGCCCUGCUGAGUCGGGUCCCGCUAGCAGUUCAGAUGCUGCUGCGAUUCCGAUUCCACUAGCACUCAACACUUGGUCUGCCCUCUAGCUCUGUCCAGUCAGGCAGAUCCAGAGGUAACGGGUCUUGCUACACUAGAUCUAUCCAGAGCAAGACAGAGGUAUUUUGGUGUGAUUCUGGUCCAUGUCUCCCAGCUCAGGUGGUGCCAAUUCUAAGUCACCACAAGGACUCUGGUACAGAGAUACAGGAAACUACCCAACUGGGGGCUGCUGCUGGAGGUGCCUUCAGGUCAGAGCAUCCGUGCAGUGCAGACACCAUGUGUAUGGCCCUGCUGCUGCCGCGAUGCAGACUGGGCCACGAGGCCUUUUAAACUGUUAAUGUGAACAGCAUGGUACUCACGUUGGUGAGGUAGGAGUGAUGCUUUUAUUUUGUCAUGUGUGCAUUCAAUGGCCUUGACUCCAUGUUUGACCUCCUCUGCACGCUGGUGUGGGGGUUGGGUCCCCAAGUCUUAAGGCAGCUCUGCUCCUGUGGCUUUGCUGGUCUCAGGUGAUGCUUUAGCUCUCCCAGUCUGCAUUGCACACUGGUUGCUCCACAGGUCUGGGGUCUCCAUGGCAGUCCUGCUCUCAAGGCUCCACUAGGCAUGGCACUGUUGGGGUUUCUCUGCUGCAACUAGUUUCUGAGACUGGGAAGUCCAAAGUCCAUCCGGCGGUGGUGACAGUGAUGCAUGGGUCUCACAUUGCAAGAUGGUGGAAGCAGAGAGAGCAGAGCCAGAAAAGCAUUUGUUAACCUGAGGUUUUAAAGAUCUUUCUAAUCUCCUGAGAAAGCACUGGGUGUAAACGUCUUUUUUUUUGUUAACAAAGGGCUCCAUGUCCUGGAUAUUCUCUGUAACAGCCAGAAUUCAGGUCUCUAGGAAGACAGAACUUCCGUUUCAGAUAAAGCUUCCUUCCAGUCUGGUGCUGCUUUUCUGCAGCACGUGACUUCUUGGUGCCCCUUCCUUCCUCCUCAAUCACCACGUGGGUUCCUAGUGUCGGCCUCUCAGAACCAGUGUGGGAGGCAGGGUCUCACUAAAUGAUGGCCUCACUUCUCACUGGAUGACAGAAGUGCUAAAAAAAAAAAAAAAAAAAAAAAAGGAACAUGGUAACAUGGUUUCCAUUGUAUUCAUUAAUUUUAGCACUAACAUCUCCCUCCCCUGACUAGGGCUUUGCAGCCUGUAAGGGGCUCCCACGAUCUCCCUCCUCUUCACGGGGACCCUGCGAGCUACACACCCACUCAGAUGCGGGGACUGGGGCUGUUCCCAUGUCCAUCAUCUUUGUCACUUCCCCAGAGAAACUGGAAGGCUCUCAGCAAUAAGCCUCAGAAAAGUAAUGUUCCUUCAAUACUCCUAAUGUCAUUUUCAGAAUCAGAGGGGACAGCAAUGGUAAAUUCCAAUUUUUUCUAUUUGUUGUUAUCUUAUUGUGGCGAGAACAUACGGUAUGAGAUCUUCCCUCUUAGCAAGUGUUAACUUGUACAACACAUGAUUGCUGAGCACAAAGUCUGGAGCUCAUUCGACUAGCUCGACUGAAACUUUAUGCCGGGUGAUUACAACUUUCCAUCCCCCCGCCCCCAGCCCCUGACAACCAUGCCAGUCUUGGAUUUUAUGCACUGGACUAUUUUAGAUGCCUCGUACAAGUGGACUCACAUUUGUCUUUCUGUGACCAGGUUAUUUCACUUAGUGUACUGUCCUCCACGUUCAUCAAUGUUGUCCCAUAUUGCAGAAUUUCCAUCUUUCUUAAAACCAAAUAAUAUAUCCCAUUGUAUGUCUUUACAUGUUUUCUUUAUCCAUUCAUCUGUCAGUGGACAUUUAGGUUGUUUGCACAUCUUGGCUAUUGUGACUGAUGCUGCAAUGAACAUGGGAGUGCUGAUUCCUGUUUGAGAUCCUGAUUUUAAUUUAUUUGAAUAAAUACCCAG